AUGUCUGUCUCCUUCCUCAUCUUCCUGCCCGUGCUGGGCCUCCCAUGGGGUGUCCUGUCACAGGUACAGCUGCAGCAGUCAGGUCCAGGACUGGUGAAGCCCUCGCAGACCCUCUCACUCACCUGUGCCAUCUCCGGGGACAGUGUCUCUAGCAACAGUGCUGCUUGGAACUGGAUCAGGCAGUCCCCAUCGAGAGGCCUUGAGUGGCUGGGAAGGACAUACUACAGGUCCAAGUGGUAUAAUGAUUAUGCAGUAUCUGUGAAAAGUCGAAUAACCAUCAACCCAGACACAUCCAAGAACCAGUUCUCCCUGCAGCUGAACUCUGUGACUCCCGAGGACACGGCUGUGUAUUACUGUGCAAGAGA